UUAAGCGACUAAGCGUACACGGUGGAUGCCCUGGCAGUCAGAGGCGAUGAAGGACGUGCUAAUCUGCGAUAAGCGUCGGUAAGGUGAUAUGAACCGUUAUAACCGGCGAUUUCCGAAUGGGGAAACCCAGUGUGUUUCGACACACUAUCAUUAACUGAAUCCAUAGGUUAAUGAGGCGAACCGGGGGAACUGAAACAUCUAAGUACCCCGAGGAAAAGAAAUCAACCGAGAUUCCCCCAGUAGCGGCGAGCGAACGGGGAGCAGCCCAGAGCCUGAAUCAGUGUGUGUGUUAGUGGAAGCGUCUGGAAAGGCGCGCGAUACAGGGUGACAGCCCCGUACACAAAAAUGCACAUGCUGUGAGCUCGAUGAGUAGGGCGGGACACGUGGUAUCCUGUCUGAAUAUGGGGGGACCAUCCUCCAAGGCUAAAUACUCCUGACUGACCGAUAGUGAACCAGUACCGUGAGGGAAAGGCGAAAAGAACCCCGGCGAGGGGAGUGAAAAAGAACCUGAAACCGUGUACGUACAAGCAGUGGGAGCACGCUUAGGCGUGUGACUGCGUACCUUUUGUAUAAUGGGUCAGCGACUUAUAUUCUGUAGCAAGGUUAACCGAAUAGGGGAGCCGAAGGGAAACCGAGUCUUAACUGGGCGUUAAGUUGCAGGGUAUAGACCCGAAACCCGGUGAUCUAGCCAUGGGCAGGUUGAAGGUUGGGUAACACUAACUGGAGGACCGAACCGACUAAUGUUGAAAAAUUAGCGGAUGACUUGUGGCUGGGGGUGAAAGGCCAAUCAAACCGGGAGAUAGCUGGUUCUCCCCGAAAGCUAUUUAGGUAGCGCCUCGUGAAUUCAUCUCCGGGGGUAGAGCACUGUUUCGGCAAGGGGGUCAUCCCGACUUACCAACCCGAUGCAAACUGCGAAUACCGGAGAAUGUUAUCACGGGAGACACACGGCGGGUGCUAACGUCCGUCGUGAAGAGGGAAACAACCCAGACCGCCAGCUAAGGUCCCAAAGUCAUGGUUAAGUGGGAAACGAUGUGGGAAGGCCCAGACAGCCAGGAUGUUGGCUUAGAAGCAGCCAUCAUUUAAAGAAAGCGUAAUAGCUCACUGGUCGAGUCGGCCUGCGCGGAAGAUGUAACGGGGCUAAACCAUGCACCGAAGCUGCGGCAGCGACGCUUAUGCGUUGUUGGGUAGGGGAGCGUUCUGUAAGCCUGUGAAGGUGUGCUGUGAGGCAUGCUGGAGGUAUCAGAAGUGCGAAUGCUGACAUAAGUAACGAUAAAGCGGGUGAAAAGCCCGCUCGCCGGAAGACCAAGGGUUCCUGUCCAACGUUAAUCGGGGCAGGGUGAGUCGACCCCUAAGGCGAGGCCGAAAGGCGUAGUCGAUGGGAAACAGGUUAAUAUUCCUGUACUUGGUGUUACUGCGAAGGGGGGACGGAGAAGGCUAUGUUGGCCGGGCGACGGUUGUCCCGGUUUAAGCGUGUAGGCUGGUUUUCCAGGCAAAUCCGGAAAAUCAAGGCUGAGGCGUGAUGACGAGGCACUACGGUGCUGAAGCAACAAAUGCCCUGCUUCCAGGAAAAGCCUCUAAGCAUCAGGUAACAUCAAAUCGUACCCCAAACCGACACAGGUGGUCAGGUAGAGAAUACCAAGGCGCUUGAGAGAACUCGGGUGAAGGAACUAGGCAAAAUGGUGCCGUAACUUCGGGAGAAGGCACGCUGAUAUGUAGGUGAAGUCCCUUGCGGAUGGAGCUGAAAUCAGUCGAAGAUACCAGCUGGCUGCAACUGUUUAUUAAAAACACAGCACUGUGCAAACACGAAAGUGGACGUAUACGGUGUGACGCCUGCCCGGUGCCGGAAGGUUAAUUGAUGGGGUCAGCGCAAGCGAAGCUCUUGAUCGAAGCCCCGGUAAACGGCGGCCGUAACUAUAACGGUCCUAAGGUAGCGAAAUUCCUUGUCGGGUAAGUUCCGACCUGCACGAAUGGCGUAAUGAUGGCCAGGCUGUCUCCACCCGAGACUCAGUGAAAUUGAACUCGCUGUGAAGAUGCAGUGUACCCGCGGCAAGACGGAAAGACCCCGUGAACCUUUACUAUAGCUUGACACUGAACAUUGAGCCUUGAUGUGUAGGAUAGGUGGGAGGCUUUGAAGUGUGGACGCCAGUCUGCAUGGAGCCGACCUUGAAAUACCACCCUUUAAUGUUUGAUGUUCUAACGUUGACCCCUAAUCGGGGUUGCGGACAGUGUCUGGUGGGUAGUUUGACUGGGGCGGUCUCCUCCUAAAGAGUAACGGAGGAGCACGAAGGUUGGCUAAUCCUGGUCGGACAUCAGGAGGUUAGUGCAAUGGCAUAAGCCAGCUUGACUGCGAGCGUGACGGCGCGAGCAGGUGCGAAAGCAGGUCAUAGUGAUCCGGUGGUUCUGAAUGGAAGGGCCAUCGCUCAACGGAUAAAAGGUACUCCGGGGAUAACAGGCUGAUACCGCCCAAGAGUUCAUAUCGACGGCGGUGUUUGGCACCUCGAUGUCGGCUCAUCACAUCCUGGGGCUGAAGUAGGUCCCAAGGGUAUGGCUGUUCGCCAUUUAAAGUGGUACGCGAGCUGGGUUUAGAACGUCGUGAGACAGUUCGGUCCCUAUCUGCCGUGGGCGCUGGAGAACUGAGGGGGGCUGCUCCUAGUACGAGAGGACCGGAGUGGACGCAUCACUGGUGUUCGGGUUGUCAUGCCAAUGGCACUGCCCGGUAGCUAAAUGCGGAAGAGAUAAGUGCUGAAAGCAUCUAAGCACGAAACUUGCCCCGAGAUGAGUUCUCCCUGACCCUUUAAGGGUCCUGAAGGAACGUUGAAGACGACGACGUUGAUAGGCCGGGUGUGUAAGCGCAGCGAUGCGUUGAGCUAACCGGUACUAAUGAACCGUGAGGCUUAACCUU
rnacentral:rRNA from 1 species